CUCUAGACCUUGACCAGCUAAAUCUCAAAGACUCAGAAUGUUUGCCAUUCUGUGUGGGAUACAGAGGCUUCCAGAAUCUGGUCGCCAGGCACAGACAGGUGGUCUGAGGAACCUUCUGAUCUAACUGGGACAGAUCAGAUAACCUCGGGUAGGCUUACCAGAGUGCUACAUCCAAGCCAGGAAAAUAAGAUAAUGGAGCAGCCCCACAUGUCCUCCUCCUUCUUUAUCCUUCACAAAUUCUCCAAAGUCUCUUGGGGAGAGAAGCACUAUGGACCCUCUGUGUAUAACAGGAUGACAUUCCACAUCUCUGGCUUUUGUCUCUAAAAAGCUAGCUCCUGGAGAAAUGGCUGAUCCUAUGUUCGAGACAGGGAAUAUACAAGAUGAGCCUGGAACAUCUUGCAAUUCUUAAAAGCAAACUGAAACUGAGAGAUGUUCUACAAAAUACCUGACCAGUACUCCCUCAAAACUGUCAAGGUCAUCAAAAACAAGAUUGAAGAAUUGCCACAGACCGGAGGAGACUCAGGAAGUUGACAACCAACUGCAAUGUGGCAUUCUGGAUUGGAUCCAGGAACAAAAAGAAGAAAAGCUGAUGAAAUCCAAAUAAAGACUCGAGUUUAGUUAGAA
rnacentral:lncRNA from 1 species